UCCCAGCGCUCCAAGUCGCAGCCACAAUUAUUGGGUCUAAAACAUUCGUAGCUUGUUUAAUAAGUUUCUUGUGAAAUCUUGUCUCUUAAAGGCAAGGCGUGCAAGAAGUACUAUUAGACUCGAGACCGGAAGAAGCGAGAAGUACAAUAGAGGUAGUGGUAAAAUACGUUAAUCUUUAUUGGACUAACAACAGCGAAGGCAUCUCGCUAGUACGGAUCUGACAGUGAGGAAUGAAGGCUAGGGUCGCAAAACG
rnacentral:rRNA from 1 species